GUGGACGGGGCAGGGCUCUAUGAACUAUUUUUGUGGUUGGUGGAUCGCCCCAUCUGUCUACAUGAAUCUGAUUAAGGUCGGAAAGUGUUGAUGUUCAUGAUCAAGUGUUUGAAAGUACUAAUCUCAUACCUAUUAUGGGAUGGGGAAGCCUAGUACCUAAUUGAACUAGGGCGUGGCUUAUACCCCUACUAUCCCUGGAACGAGGUUCCCAUUGUGCAUCAUGUGGGUGCAAGUGCGGUCACAGUACGGCAAGAGGUCGGGACUGUGGAGCAUUGCAUGCCAAGAGAAGUUUGGACCUGAC
rnacentral:lncRNA from 1 species